GCCCAGGUGGUGGAACUGCUAUACACACAAGACUUAAAAUCUUGCGGCCGCAAGGCCUUGCGGGUUGGACUCCCGCCCUGGGCACCA
rnacentral:tRNA from 1 species